rnacentral:ncRNA from 1 species
GGUCAUGAGCGCCAGCGCCAAGCCCCGGCUCGCUGGCCGGCAACCCUCCAACCGCGGUGGGGUGCCCCGGGUGACGACCUGGCCGGCGUCGAGGUGGCGUGCGGCAAGCGCGGA